GGAUAUAUGAUAUAAUAUAUAUAGAAUGAUUUCUAAUUCCUCGUUGUACCUUUAAUUGACAUAGACCCCA
rnacentral:tRNA from 1 species